GGCUCGUUGGUCUAGUGGUAUGAUUUUCGCUUCGGGUGUGAGCAGUCCUGGGUUCAACUCCUGGACAAGCCU